AUUAUUUUUAUUAAUAUGUUAAAAUGAUUAUUUUUUAUACUUUUUAAAUAUUUUUUGAGGUGUAAAUUAAAAUUAAUUUUUAAAAUUAUUAUACUAAAUAAAAUUUUAUAAUUUACAAAAAUCAAGUUAUUUUAAGUUUUAAAUAUAAAAAAUAAAAAUAAUAGUUGAUAUAAUUUUAAAUUUUUUAAAAAUUU
rnacentral:tRNA from 1 species